rnacentral:snoRNA from 1 species
GGGUCAAUGAUGAGAACUCAUAUUGUCUUGAAGAGAGAUGAUGGUCUAAAAAUCAUGCUCAAUAGGAUUAUGCUGAGGUCC